rnacentral:lncRNA from 1 species
ACAAAUUUAAAGUAAAUCUUGAUAAUAAGAAACUUUAUUAUUAAUUCAAACAAUCUAUAAAAAAUAUCGUACCUAUGUGCAUAUAUAUAAUGAAGCACGAUUUUAUAAACAACGUCAAUUAAAGUAAAAAGUAUAUAUAUAUAUAUAUAUAUAUAUGCAUAUGAUCAAAACGUUGCUACUGAUAUCAGUUAAUUUUUUUUAACCAAAUCGAUUAAAAAAAAAGAUUAAAAAAAAAUGAUUAAAAAAAAAUGAUUAACAAAAAAUGGUUAAAAAAAAAGAUUAAAAAAAAAUGAUUAAAAAAAAAUGAUUAAAAAUGGAGUUGUUAAAAAAGAGAAAGUGUUAUAGAGAGUUGUGAUAAAAAAAUAAAUUUUAGUUUUUAUCUACAAAAAAAAAAAAAAAAAAAAAAAAAAAAAAAAAAAAAGUGUCAAUAUUUGUUAAUGUGAUACCAAUUAAGAAACUUGAAAAUGAAGAAAAAAGGCACAAUUUAUUAAUAUACCUAUCCAUCUAUUUGUUUGUUUCUUUAUUUCAUUUUUUAUAGAUGUUAAUACAUUUAUAUAUUUUCAAAAAUUGAUAGAUCUAAAAAAUAGUCAAGUUUUCAAUAUAAUAUGAAUAAAAAACACAAACACAAAAGCUCUUGAUAAUGUAAAUUUGUCAUUUAAACGAGGAAUGAGGAUUGUUGUAUGUGGAAAAAAUGGAGCAGGAAAAAGUACCUUACUAAGUAUUUUAGCAGGAAAGAAAUUAAUAAAUGAGCAAGAAGUUUUAAUUUUCAACAAACCUGUUUUCCAUGACACUUCAUUGUCAGACACAAUAGGAUACAUCGGUGAAUGGUGGAGCAAUGACUAUGCAAUGAAUAUAUCAAUAAAAAACUUUUUUAUUAAAUAUCAAAAUUCUAAAAGAUAUAAACAACUGUUAAAACUUUUCGAAAUUAAUGAAAAUAAAUUAAUUAGCAGUCUUUCAACAGGGGAAAAAAAAAAAAGUUCAAAUAUUAGUUAG